CUCGUUGGGACUGAACGCAUCGAAUACCGGAGACAGGAGAGACAGGGGAGAAGAUCACCCGGUUUGCGUCCGUCGGGAGCCUCAGAGCGCGGGGAACGAUGCUCAGAGCGAGUCGCUCCGCGGGCAGCAGGACUUAAAAAGCUGCGGUCCAUCCAUCUGGACACUUUUUACUCUCGCCCUUUCCCCUCCGAUAAGGAAGACAAGAAUCCAGACAGUCAUCUUCCAGCUCGCAGUCCUCUUUGGGUAUCUAACCCUCAGUUUGACGGCCAGUCCGGGUCUGAUUCCAGCACGAUGUGGAAGACCGGGAUCCUCCUGCUGCUGUGGGUGUUUCUGGCGUCCGGCGAACUCCAACAAGAGACGGAGCCGCGGAGACUGCCACCCCCGGGAAAGUUGGAUUUCGGUUAUGUGCCUGCGGGAGUUUACGAGACUCUGGCCCACUACGAACCGGGACCGAUCGGGAUCCUGUUCCACAUGGUGCACGCUUUCCUGUACGUCGUGCAACCCAACGCUUUCCCGCAAGAUCUUAUUGUCAAACUGGCAAAGGACAAGUUUGGAGCCAUUCAGACGGAAUACCAAAAGCCAGAGAACAUAGUGCUGACCCUUCAGGCCAUCUACUACGAGAUAGGCUUCCUAAUAUGUGCAGCAGUCGGCCUGCUGUUCGCAGUUCUGGUGCCGAUAGUCGGCCUCUUCUUCUGCAUGUGCCGCUGCUGUGACAACUGUGGCGGCGAGAUGCACCAACGCCAGAGGAAGAACGCAGACUGCCGGCGUGGCCUGCUGGGAACACUGCUUUUCUCCACCUCACUGGUCAUCACGAUCGGAGUACUGUGUGCAUACGCUGCCAACCAGAACCUGAGCUCUCAGGUGAAGAACAUACGGAGACUGGUCAACAGCAACAUGAGGGACCUGCACACCUUUGCUAAUGACACACCAAUGCAAAUUGAUUACCUAAUAUCCCAAUACGCCACUGCCAAGAACAAAGUCAUCUAUGACCUAGAUAACAUAGGCCCAUUAUUGGGUGGAAGGAUACAUGAUCAGUUGGAUAAGGAGGUCCAUCCUGCCUUGGACAGAGUGCUCAAUAUGGCUGGAGCCAUGCGAGAAACCAAGGAGGCCCUGGAGAACGUCAGCGUGGGUUUGGAAGUCCUUCAGGACGGAACAGGCAGGCUCAACUUCAACCUGAGCCUGGUCCGGCAGAGUAUCAACCGCACGCUCAACGACCCGGGCUGUCACGACGAGGAGUCAGACGCCACCUCUGCCCAGCUGUGCCGCAACAUCCGACAGUCACUGUCCCAGCUACAGAUUGGCGCAAACUUCACACGGUUACCCAAAGUAAACACUCAGCUGGAAAAAGUGAACGAAGUAUUAAAAACCGACCUCAGUGCCAUCGUACAAAAGGGCUAUGCCUCUUUAAAUGACACGCCACAUAUGGUGACUGAACAGACCAGAGGUGUUGUGGAAAGUGUACAGAGUUUGGUGGACGGCAUUGGCAACAACAUCAGCAGCUUUUCCAAGGUAUUCCCUCUGCAGAGCAGCCUGUCCAACUUCACUAUCUUCAUUAGCCAUGCACAUGCCAAGAUUGAGGACCACUACCCGGAAAUUGACCAAAUGGACUUCUACAGAUGGAUUGGCUGUAUUGCCCUUUGCUGUAUGGUGGUCCUGGUCCUGGCCUUCAACUACCUGGGCCUGCUGUGUGGCACCCUGGGAUACGACAAGCACGCCUCACCGACGACACGAGGUUGCAUCUCCAACACAGGAGGAACGAUGCUCAUGGCCGGUGUUGGAUUCAGCAUCAUCUUCUCCUGGGUUCUGAUGGGAGUGGUUACCAUUAUCUUCCUGGCUGGAGGAAACAUGGAGAAACUAGUUUGUGAACCCUUCCACACCAAAGAAGUCUUCAAGGUUGUGGACACUCCAUAUCUGGUCAACCCAGACUGGAAGAACUUCAUCCCUGGCUACAUGUACAACGACUCUGACCUGGAGCUGACAGCAGAGAGCUUGUACAGUACUUGCAAAGAGAACAAAGGCAUCUACUCAGCCAUGCGUCUGGACAAAGUCUUCAACAUCUCCGUGUUCCUGAACACCACAGUGUUUACUAAGGAUGUGGUGAAUCAGCUGGACAGUGUUAAGAUCGACCUGAGGGGAAUAAUCCUGUUAGAAGCGGAAGGGAAGCAGAACCUCCUGGAUUUCUCUGAAGCAGGGCUGUCAGAAAUCAACUAUGCAGACUAUCUGGAAGAGGUCAACAAAGGAGUCACUGUGAUGGACUUGCUCACAUUUGCCAGAGAGCUGGAGGCCCAGACAGACCUCAUGCCCAGAGGCGGUCUGCAGACCGCUCUGAAAGGCCACGUCGGCACUCUGCGGCAGAUUCACACUCAACAGAUCAUCCCCAUGGAGCAGGCCAUGAAAUAUGUUAGAGCGAGGAGCUCAUUAAACCAGAGUAUGCGGUUCCUGGAGAGAACAGCCACAGACCUGCCAAACAAAGUUUUAGCAGUUCUUGAUGCCAUUGAAGCUGCCCAGUACCUCAUCUCCCAAAAUGCUACACAUUUAAUCAAUCGGGAAACAGGAAAAUACACAGCGACCAUUGUUGGCUACUUCCAUCAAUAUAUAGAAUGGGUCAAAACAUCUUUGGCCCUGGAGGUCGCACCAUGCAAGCCCUUCAGCAACAUGGUGGACACGGCGGAGAUCAUUACUUGCAGUUUUUUGGUCGACUCCAUGAACACAUUCUGGAUGGGCCUGGGCUGCAGCACUCUCUUCUUGCUCCCCAGCAUCAUCCUCGCUGUGAAACUAGCCAAGUACUACCGCAGGAUGGACACAGAGGAUGUUUAUGAUGACAUUGAGACAAUUCCCAUGAAAACCAUCCCGACUUAUGACACUAUGAACAGGUUCCCGAGGGCCUCGGCUCCUCCGAGGCACAUCGACUGGUGACAGAGAGCCGGCUCUUGUUCUGGCUCCUGAAAGCUUGUUUUAGUGCUUUCCUGCUCACAGUGACUUUGCAAGAAAACCAUCAUGUGCCCUCGGAAACUGGAACUAAAAUACACCAUAGUAACUGUUUGUUUCACAAACCAUCGGACCAGAAGAAGCUCCAUAAAAGCUGCUUUCUCUACAACAGAAGAACACACGAAGCUCUUUGGGUGUUUUCUUUUAUCUUUAUGGAUCAACUCAACCUCCUCAGGCAGGCAGAUCACAGCCUAAAGCUCAGUUAUCUGCUCCCCCUCGAGGAACUCUGCCUGCAGGACAUCAAACUCUUCUCCCUCAGCAUCAAUCUGAGCCAGGCUUAUACUGCUUUUUUUUUUCUCAACGGACUGCUGUGUCUGCGUUUACAUUUGUUCGGACACAAAAUCAUGCUGAAAAAUACAUUCAGCAAAAGGACAUGACAAUAACUGUGAUGCCUGUUCAUAUUAAUGUUUAUGCUUAAGAAGACAGUGAAAGGUCUCUUGAAGGUCACGGUAAGCUGCUAGAAGAAACUUUUUCUCUUGCAAUUAGAAUGGAUGUAUCACAUUCAACACAAGCGAAUACUAAAAGUGGAACAGUCUGUCAAUACAUCUGCAAGAAAAGCUGCAAAUUAACAUGGCAUUCAAUGUGUUAAAAGGCACUAUUUUGUUAAGAAUGGCACAUCCUUUUUAAGUGCAGCAUGCGUGAGUUGGUGGGUGUAUGUGUUUCUCAGUGACUGAGAACUGAAUGAUUUGAACAAAGUGACAGAAACAGGUUGGUCCCAGGUGGAUUCUUUGUGAUUAAUAGGAAGAAAUUUAGCAUGGUUUUUUAAAAAUGUUUACAAUAUUACAAAACAUACAGACAUCUUUGCUGUUUUUUUGGGCGAAUUGCUAAUGACUGGUUGCCUUUCAGAAGUAUGUUUCACGGUGGUUUUUGACAGAUACACUCCUUCCCAAAGGGAAAAUCCACCCUACCCACUGUUACACUGUUAAAAAAAAUCACAUGUGAUGUUAAGAGAGUACAGGGACUUUAUUUUGUGGUAAAGUGUUCAAAAUAUACUCAUACUUUUUUAGCAUUUCCCCUGACUUCUUUCAUCUAUUUUUGUGUCAGGUCUUGAUUUCCCGCAUUAUCCAAUAUCCUUUUAAACAAUCCUGAAAUAACUGUAAAAGAAAGGUGAGACAAAAGUGACAAAGUUGUUUGCUUAAUUCUGGUCUUUAAAGGCGGAUGUCAAUAUGGCUGUUCUCUUAUGUUUUCUUUAGGGUUUUUAAAAAAAAAAUGUAAACAUCACACAAACUGACUACAUUUUCAGGCAUUGGUUCCUAUUAUUUUUUGUGCAGCCACUUCACACAAGUUGUAAAACUCAAUAAUUGAAAAGAUGUUUAACCAAAUAAUGAUCUCCCCUUCAAAGAAUGAUUCAUACAAACACUGCAACAGAAAUAUGUUUUUUACUUUCAGCCUUCAGAUUUAUCUUGUGGACCAAUUAGGAAGUCUCAGUUUGGGUAUCAGUUAAAAAGUGCAUUUUAGUUUUGCUGCAAAUAUCUGACCACAAAAUCCUGCCAUCAACGUUUGGACAUUAAUGACAGGAGUAACAUCAGUAAACCACCAAACAACACAAUCAGUAAUUAAAAAAAAAAUCAUCACCAAUUACUAAUUUGCCAACAGUGUAAGUCUUUCAGGUGGAUUUUCCCUUUUAAAUUCAGAGCAUAGCUUCUUACUAUAUCACAUGCUAUGACAAACGUGUCAGGCUUAUAGAUUGUUUCUUAGCUGAUUAACAACACAAUGUUGAGUUCACUAACAUGACAUUUUUACUGAGAUCUUUCUUGCUUGCAUAGUGAAGAUAUGUUUAAAGUGGAGAAAUACUUUCUCAAGCCAAAUUGUUUUUUACCGUAGGUCUCAGGUGUUUAGUGGUCUAUCAAUAAUGUGCUUACUUUGUUUCUGCUUUUUAAAACCCCACAGUAGCUACGGAUACAUUUUUAAAAAACUAUAUGGAACAAGUGAAUGUAUUCAAGAGCUAUGUUUUAUUUUGUAUAGCUUGAUGACGUUGGCUGAGAAAUAUGCUGAACUCUUAUCACUAACGCAUUGGGCAAGCCAAUCCAGUUAUCCCACCCACCUCGCCUCCAUGUUUACAGGUUAGAUUUGCAGCUAUCUAAUAAUGAUGGUGAAACAUUAGACAAUCCAUUCAUGGGACAAUUCAAACAGUAGAAGUCCAGUAGAAUGAUUUAUGGUUUAAAAAGUUGAUGGUGUUGAAAAAAAAUAAUGUCCAUCUCAACAAAUUUUACACAUCUAGCUGAUUAAAUACGCUAAGGCCGGAGAUGUGCUAGUUUUGGUCCACAUGAUGUGGAAUACACACAUAAACAUAAGGGCAGUGUAGGAGUAGUACAUUGUAUUGAUGUGUUUGAUAUAAGGGCCUUCCAUAUCAUUUAGGAUAGCGCUGCUGUCACUUUUUCUGCUGUGAUCUCAGAAUUAACAAUCUACUAACCUCCUAAACUGUUGCCAUGUUUGCAAUGUACAUCCUGAAAAUGUGGUAGUCCUAUUAGCUUACAAUUGGCUGUUUUUCCUUCACUAUUUUCCUGUUGCGAUGGACAUUAUUUGAAUUGUGUGCUCACUUUGACAGGACUAUCAUUCUUGUCUGCUAGCGUCUGGAUGUGACCCAUCUUGGGAGAAAAACAGUCUGAUUUUAUUUCAAGUGCUUAAACUAGAUAUCAUGUAUCUGAACCUUCAGGACAGAUAUAGUGGUAACUGGUUUGAACUGCGAUGCUCCAAAGUUGGGCACUGAUGGAGCCAUUUAAGAGGAACUUUUUAUGUGGUGGUUCAAAGGGUGUGUAUAAAUUGUGAAUAAACUUUAAAAUUCAA